GUACUGAUGAAGAGUCCCAAACUAGGACUAAACAGCUGUUCAGUAC
rnacentral:hammerhead_ribozyme from 1 species